AGGUCACUGCCUAGGCAGGCUUUGCAAUUCUACCAGCGAUAAAUAAACAUAUUCAUUUGAGGUUACAUGUCACAGUGUGCUGCACAUUAUUGUAUUCUAAUAAUUUGGAAUGUUUUUGUAUCACAUAGUAUUUGGUUUAUAAUUAUAUGAGAUGAGAUGAUGAAGUUCAUUUAUAUUUUAGUUAUGGUAUUUCUGAUGAACACAAUAAAUCUGAAAGUUUCCAGUUGUU